CAAUAGCGUAUAUUAAAGUUGUUGCGGUUAAAAAGCUCGUAGUUGGAUUUCUGCAUGGAAGGAGCGGUCCACCCAUUGGGCGCGUACGGCUACCUUUGAUGCAUCUUUCUGAGGACGUGUUCUUCACUUAAUUGUGAGGGCGCAGGACUCAGGACAUUUACUUUGAGGAAAUGAGAGUGUUUCAAGCAGGCAAAUGCCUUGAAUACGUUAGCAUGGAAUAAUAGCAUCGGACCAUCGUCCAGCUGUUGGUGUCUGGGCGAAGGUAAAGGUGAAUAGGGAUUGUUGGGGGCAUUCGUAUUUAACUGUCAGAGGUGAAAUUCUUGGAUUUGUUGAAGACGGACCACUGCGAAAGCAUCUGCCAUGGAUGUUUUCAUUGA
rnacentral:rRNA from 1 species